rnacentral:piRNA from 1 species
GAGCACGUAUAGACAUUUGCUGG